rnacentral:rRNA from 1 species
UGGGGAAUAUUGGACAAUGGGCGCAAGCCUGAUCCAGCCAUGCCGCGUGAGUGAUGAAGGCCCUAGGGUUGUAAAGCUCUUUCACCGGUGAAGAUAAUGACGGUAACCGGAGAAGAAGCCCCGGCUAACUUCGUGCCAGCAGCCGCGGUAAUACGAAGGGGGCUAGCGUUGUUCGGAUUUACUGGGCGUAAAGCGCACGUAGGCGGACUAUUAAGUCAGGGGUGAAAUCCCGGGGCUCAACCCCGGAACUGCCUUUGAUACUGGUAGUCUUGAGUUCGAGAGAGGUGAGUGGAAUUCCGAGUGUAGAGGUGAAAUUCGCAGAUAUUCGGAGGAACACCAGUGGCGAAGGCGGCUCACUGGCUCGAUACUGACGCUGAGGUGCGAAAGCGUGGGGAUCAAACAGG